AAAAGGUGGCUACGCUACCGCUUUUGGAUGGGCCCGCGGCGCAUUAGCUAGUUGGUGGGGUAAAGGCUUACCAAGGCAAUGAUGCGUAGCCGAACUGAGAGGUUGAUCGGCCACAUUGGGACUGAGACACGGCCCAAACUCCUACGGGAGGCAGCAGUAGGGAAUCUUCCACAAUGGGCGAAAGCCUGAUGGAGCAACGCCGCGUGGGUGAAGAAGGUCUUCGGAUCGUAAAACCCUGUUGUUAGAGAAGAAAGUGCGUGAGAGUAACUGUUCACGUUUCGACGGUAUCUAACCAGAAAGCCACGGCUAACUACGUGCCAGCAGCCGCGGUAAUACGUAGGUGGCAAGCGUUAUCCGGAUUUAUUGGGCGUAAAGGGAACGCAGGCGGUCUUUUAAGUCUGAUGUGAAAGCCUUCGGCUUAACCGGAGUAGUGCAUUGGAAACUGGGAGACUUGAGUGCAGAAGAGGAGAGUGGAACUCCAUGUGUAGCGGUGAAAUGCGUAGAUAUAUGGAAGAACACCAGUGGCGAAAGCGGCUCUCUGGUCUGUAACUGACGCUGAGGUUCGAAAGCGUGGGUAGCAAACAGGAUUAGAUACCCUGGUAGUCCACGCCGUAAACGAUGAAUGCUAAGUGUUGGAGGGUUUCCGCCCUUCA
rnacentral:rRNA from 1 species